AAUUCUCAAAGUCCUUUUCUUUGAUUGUUUCAAUCAAGAAAAGGAUUUUGGACUUGGAGGAUCAAUGCUCACUUUUUGAAAGUGAGCUCCUCUUAAAUGAAUUAGUGGGGGUUUGCUUUGCUGAUCCUUGACGUGAUAAGGUGAUUCUACGUUUUGGAUUUAGCACCGUCCCUUUAGAACACCCGCUUCUAAUUGUCCUGUGGACAACGAUGGUGUUCCGGUCACACCGGCUGGACCCACACAAGAAAAA
rnacentral:misc_RNA from 1 species